UUCCGGUUGAUCCCGCCGGAGGUCACUGCUAUCGGGGUUCGAUUAAGCCAUGCGAGUCGAGAGGGUUCGGCCCUCGGCGUACUGCUCAGUAACACGUGGAUAACCUGCCCUAGGGGAGGGGAUAACCCCGGGAAACUGGGGAUAAUACCCUAUAGGUUACAGAUGCUGGAAUGCCCUGUAACCAAAAGCUCCGGCGCCCUAGGAUGGAUCUGCGGCCGAUUAGGUUGUUGUUGGGGUAACGGCCCAACAAGCCCGUAAUCGGUACGGGCUGUGGGAGCAAGAGCCCGGAGUUGGAUUCUGAGACACGAAUCCAGGCCCUACGGGGCGCAGCAGGCGCGAAACCUUUACAAUGCGGGCAACCGUGAUAAGGGAACCUCGAGUGCCUGUAAACGCAGGCUGUUCAGGUGUUUAAAACGCACCUGGAGAAAGGGCCGGGCAAGACCGGUGCCAGCCGCCGCGGUAAUACCGGCGGCUCGAGUGGUGGCCGCUUUUAUUGGGAUUAAAGCGUUCGUAGCUGGGUUGUUAAGUCUCUUGGGAAAUCUGGCGGCUUAACCGUCAGGCGUCUAAGGGAUACUGGCAAUCUUGGAACCGGGAGAGGUGAGGGGUACUUCGGGGGUAGGGGUGAAAUCCUGUAAUCCUCGAGGGACCACCUGUGGCGAAGGCGCCUCACCAGAACGGCUUCGACAGUGAGGGACGAAAGCUGGGGGAGCAAACCGGAUUAGAUACCCGGGUAGUCCCAGCCGUAAACGAUGCGCGUUAGGUGUAUCGGUGACCACGAGUUACCGAGGUGCCGAAGGGAAACCGUGAAACGCGCCGCCUGGGAAGUACGGUCGCAAGGCUGAAACUUAAAGGAAUUGGCGGUGGAGCACCACAACGGGUGGAGCCUGCGGUUUAAUUGGAGUCAACGCCGGGAAUCACUAGUGCGGCCGCCUGCAGGUCGACCAUAUGGG
rnacentral:rRNA from 1 species